rnacentral:rRNA from 1 species
GACGAACGCUGGCGGCGUGCUUAACACAUGCAAGUCGAACGGUGAAGGGACCGGUUUUUGCUGGUUCUGGAUGAGUGGCGAACGGGUGAGUAACACGUGAGUAACCUGCCCCCUUCUUCUGGAUAACCGCAUGAAAGUGUGGCUAAUACGGGAUAUUCUGCGCCUGCUGCAUGGUGGGUGUGGGAAAGAUAUUGUUUCGGUGGGGGAUGGGCUCGCGGCCUAUCAGCUUGUUGGUGGGGUGAUGGCCUACCAAGGCGGUGACGGGUAGCCGGCCUGAGAGGGUGGACGGUCACACUGGGACUGAGACACGGCCCAGACUCCUACGGGAGGCAGCAGUGGGGAAUAUUGCACAAUGGGCGCAAGCCCGAUGCAGCGACGCCGCGUGAGGGAUGGAGGCCUUCGGGUUGUAAACCUCUUUCGCCAGUGAAGCAGGCCUGUCCCUUUUGUGGGUGGGUUGACGGUAGCUGGAUAAGAAGCGCCGGCUAACUACGUG